UACGGAGGGUGCGAGCGUUAAUCGGAAUUACUGGGCGUAAAGGGUGCGUAGGUGGUUGAAUAAGUUAUCUGUGAAAUACCUGGGCUCAACCUGGGCAGGUCAGAUAAUACUGUUUGACUCGAGUAUGGGAGAGGGUAGUGGAAUUUCCGGUGUAGCGGUGAAAUGCGUAGAGAUCGGAAGGAACACCAGUGGCGAAGGCGGCUACCUGGCCUAAUACUGACACUGAGGCACGAAAGCGUGGGGAGCAAACAGG
rnacentral:rRNA from 1 species